rnacentral:misc_RNA from 1 species
GUUGUUAGGAAUUUGGUUCUUGACAUUUUAUAAUUUUGGGCUGAAAAUACAAGCAUGCUAAUUCUUUGCUCACUCUUUACUUCAUUUGGUGAAUAUUUGGAUCUCAAUCUGAAGAAAACAAACUGGAAGGAGUGGGAUUUCAUUUUGAUCUACUUAAAUUGGGAAAAAGAUACAAGCCUAUUUGGUUUAGUUGUUGCUGUUGCCGCUACUAUUAAUGGGAUCUCAUUUGAACUUCAAGAACUUUGGUAAUGCCCCAGCCGGGGAGGGCAGCGGUGCAAAGCCACCAGGGAGUUCCCUUUUAGUCCGCCAGCCUUCAGUAUACUCAUNNNUGAGUUCCAGAACACAUGGGGUGGAGGACUUGGGAAGGAUUUUGGAUCAAUGAACAUGGAGGAGCUAUU